rnacentral:rRNA from 1 species
GUGUCAGCAGCCGCGGUAAGACGAAGGAUCCAAGCGUUAUCCGGAUUUAUUGGGUUUAAAGGGUGCGUAGGCGGAUUUAUAAGUCAGUGGUGAAAGCCUGUUGCUUAACAACAGAACUGCCAUUGAUACUGUUGAUCUUGAAUAUGUUUGAUGUGGGCGGAAUAUGACAUGUAGCGGUGAAAUGCUUAGAUAUGUCAUAGAACACCGAUUGCGAAGGCAGCUCACAAAGCCAUUAUUGACGCUGAGGCACGAAAGCGUGGGGAUCAAACAGGAUUAGAUACCCUGGUAGUCCACGCUGUAAACUUUGAUCACUCGCUGUUGGCGAUACACAGUCAGCGGCUAAGCGAAAGCGUUAAGUGAUCCACCUGGGGAGUACGGUCGCAAGAUUGAAACUUAAAUGAAUUGACGGGG